rnacentral:lncRNA from 10 species
CUCCAGCAAAGUUGAGCUUAUUAAGGGACAAAAUGGAAAAUUUGAUGACAGGUCUGAAACUCAGAGAAUUACAAAGCUAAUUCGUGCCGUAACUUGAACAGUUUUCUGGAUGCAAGCACAUGUGAUUUCUACUACAACCACAGCUGCUGGGAAGGGAAGAAAGACAUUUGUUGAGUGCCGACAAUGUGUCAGAGGCCCAGAGAAAACCAUUGUUCCAGCAGUACUUCAUAGGCCAGGGCAGAAGACAGAGAGAAGGGACACCCACAAGUCCAGUCAGGGAUUACAAUGACAUCCAUGGACCACCUCAAUCUAAGCCAAUUACAGAUAAUUCGGUGGUGGCAGCUGAGUUUUGAAUAUAAAACAUUGCAACAUUAACUAGAGGAGACUAUGGCCCUGGAGUCUGAAAAUGUGUGGGAAAGAAAUUCGACAGGGAAGAAAAGCAAGUCACCAGGGACUGUAUCCUUGAUUAGUGGCUGCGAUCCUGCAACACACUUCAUCCUGCCCAAUCCCCAUCGAUGUUGGCAUUUUCCUACUCAAUUGAUGUCCUCAUAUUUUCCCUGCUCCAUCUACACACCAUAUAUUUCCUCAGGUGCUACAAACAAGUUCCAAACUUUAUUGGACAGGGGAAGAAGUAGAAGAAACAAGAAGUAUUAUUAAAAUGAAUGGAGUUAAAAUGGGACAGAGGUGAGAAGAAGGAGCUAGAAAACUUUAAAUAAAAUGCACCUACAGCUAAGGAAAUAGACAAGCCUUUCUGAUGGCUCUCAUGGCUCUGCGUUUACAUACUACAGAUUCCUCCUGGAUGAAACAGAAGCCGGGCUGCUGAUGCAGCUGGAGGAGGAAGCGAGAGGUUCCAACGGCAUGACUCCUUGGCAUUUCACACAUCCAUAGAAAUAACCCAUCUAUGAUUUCCACAAGACAAUUUUUUCUUAGUCCCCACUUUUCAGUGUAUGCUCAAACACAAUGCAGAAUCCCAAGAAACUGUGAAACUUUUCUGAGAAAAUGUUCUGAUUUGAAUUAGUUAGCUGUAUUCUGCAUUCAGCACAUUUACAAGCUUUGAAAUAUCGGACAUUGGCAAGCAAGCACUAACAUUUUAUAAGUAGCAGUUUGCAUCCAGGUUUGAGGUAAUGUAAUCCAACAUGCACGAGAACACAGUCUAGGUCCCCUUCUCCCUUCUAAGCAUAGCAGAAGGAUUAGGAAUAAUGAAUGGUGUGAAUUUUGCCACCUAGAGGGUUUCAUUUUGAUACCUGUUACACAGUCCUCUUGAGCACUGUGCUCAUUUUUCCUAUUGCUGAGAUAUGGAAAAUAAAACAGUAAUAGGAACGUGCACUGACAACACACCAUGUCAAUGCCCUAAAACGCAAAGUCUUGGAGAGGGUUCCAUAAUGGCUUCAGUAGAAGCAUAGCUCAUUCCCUGCUUUGCUAAUCAAUUUUCUGCAUGCCAUGUUCUCCCCGUUAUACCUCAUCCCUUAGGCUACUCUUGUAGCCCAAGUCAACCACACAGGUGAUAUACACCGGUGGAAUAGGUCAGGGCAAUUUCUUGAGGCACUGGAGGGGGAAAACCUGGGGUCUCUCCUCAGCCCUCCAAUGUGUCCAUAAUGCUCCUCAUGUGCCACAGGCUCCGUGCCACCAUGGAAUUUGAUCUGGAAGUCUAGAGCCCUUUUCAGGGAGUUGUUUAAGCCUUUAGUCCUUGUUUCUUCACUCUUAGUGUAAUUCUGUGUCAUUUUAGAGCCAGAAACACUGUUGUAACAGUCAAAUGUAGUAAUUAAGACUGUAGUAUCAGAUCACUGGCUUUUCAAUCUUUUUCUAAAAGGCUCUAUGAUCUCAGGCAAAUUUACUGAACUCUUCUUGCUGUAAUAUGGGGAGACAGUGGCCCUCACUUCAUAGAUUGUAGUGAGAUUAAAUAAGUUAAUAUAUGUAAAGCUUUAAUAAAGUACUUAGCAAAUAGUAUAUACAGUACUAUGCAAGUUUUAGCUAUAAAAUGACAAUAACAUUUCACAUAAAAAGGUUACUAUUAAUUGUUACUACCAUUUCCUAAUUAUUGAUUUAUGUAAUAAGCUAUGCCCCAAACCUACCAGGUUUAACUCUUGGUAUUCAGUGUGAACUGAAUUAUAUUCCCCUCAAAUUCAUUUAUUGAAACACUAAUGUGCUGGCAUUAGAAGGCAAGGCAUUUGGGAGGUAAUUAGGUCAUGAAGGUAGAAUCCUCAUGAUGGGAUUAAUGCCCUUAUUAGAACAGACUGAAGAGAAAUUUUACUCUGCCAUGAGAGACACAU